GUCGACAGCCAUACCACCCUGAACAAGCCCGAUCCCGGCUGAUCUUGGAAGCUAAGCACGGUCGGGCCUGGUUAGUACUCGGUUGGGAGACCACCUAGGAAGAUCAGGUGCUGUAGGUG
rnacentral:rRNA from 1 species